GUCGAACGCGAAAGCCCCGCAAGGGGCAAGUAGAGUGGCAAACGGGUGAGUAACACGUGGGUGACCUGCCUUCGAGUGGGGGAUAACAUCCCGAAAGGGAUGCUAAUACCGCAUGACAUCCUGCCUUUGAACAGGCGGAGAUCAAAGCCGGGGAUCGCAAGACCUGGCGCUCAAAGAGGGGCCCGCGCCUGAUUAGCUAGUUGGUGGGGUAAUGGCUCACCAAGGCAACGAUCAGUAUCCGGCCUGAGAGGGCGGACGGACACACUGGGACUGAGACACGGCCCAGACUCCUACGGGAGGCAGCAGUGGGGAAUUGUUCGCAAUGGGCGCAAGCCUGACGACGCAACGCCGCGUGGAGGAUGAAGACCUUCGGGUCGUAAACUCCUUUCGAUCGAGACGAAUGGCCUCUGGGUGAAUAGCCUGGAGGAAUGACGGUACCGAGAGAAGAAGCCCCGGCUAACUCCGUGCCAGCAGCCGCGGUAAUACGGGGGGGGCAAGCGUUGUUCGGAAUUACUGGGCGUAAAGGGCUCGUAGGAGGCCAACUAAGUCAGACGUGAAAUCCCUCGGCUUAACCGGGGAACUGCGUCUGAUACUGGAUGGCUGGAGUUUGGGAGAGGGAUGCGGAAUUCCAGGUGUAGCGGUGAAAUGCGUAGAUAUCUGGAGGAACACCGGUGGCGAAGGCGGCAUCCUGGACCAACACUGACGCUGAGGAGCGAAAGCCAGGGGAGCAAACGGGAUUGAUACCCCGGUAG
rnacentral:rRNA from 1 species